rnacentral:rRNA from 1 species
AGAGUUUGAUCAUGGCUCAGGACGAACGCUGGCGGCGUGCUUAACACAUGCAAGUCGAACGGAAAGGCCCCUUCGGGGGUACUCGAGUGGCGAACGGGUGAGUAACACGUGGGUGAUCUGCCCUGCACUUUGGGAUAAGCCUGGGAAACUGGGUCUAAUACCGAAUAGGACCGCAUGCUUCAUGGUGUGUGGUGGAAAGCUUUUGCGGUGUGGGAUGGGCCCGCGGCCUAUCAGCUUGUUGGUGGGGUAAUGGCCUACCAAGGCGACGACGGGUAGCCGGCCUGAGAGGGUGUCCGGCCACACUGGGACUGAGAUACGGCCCAGACUCCUACGGGAGGCAGCAGUGGGGAAUAUUGCACAAUGGGCGCAAGCCUGAUGCAGCGACGCCGCGUGGGGGAUGACGGCCUUCGGGUUGUGAACCUCUUUCAGUAUCGGCGAAGCUCCAGGAUUUUUCUUGGGGUGACGGUAGGUACAGAAGAAGCACCGGCCAACUACGUGCCAGCAGCCGCGGUAAUACGUAGGGUGCGAGCGUUGUCCGGAAUUACUGGGCGUAAAGAGCUCGUAGGUGGUUUGUCACGUUGUCUGUGAAAACUCACAGCUUAACUGUGGGCGUGCGGGCGAUACGGGCAGACUAGAGUACUGCAGGGGAGACUGAAAUUCCUGGUGUAGCGGUGGAAUGCGCAGAUAUCAGGAGGAACACCGGUGGCGAAGGCGGGUCUCUGGGCAGUAACUGACGCUGAGGAGCGAAAGCGUGGGGAGCGAACAGGAUUAGAUACCCUGGUAGUCCAA